CUCGGUCUGAUUCAUGCGGGAUCAUGAUAUAUAGGCAAUCUACAUACGAUUCGACCAUAAUUGAAUGAAAAUAAUAGAGAAUAAGGCAAAAACAAAGGGGCUUCACUAGCAAAGAAAUAAGAGCCGGGAUGACACAAGCAACCAAUGCAUGUAGUGACCAACUGUUAUUUAGGUGCAUUCAUACCCAAUAUGUGGCCGCUUAUGUCUUAGAACCGAACCAUUAAUGAGUGUUUGGUGUUUUUCCAGUUUCAGACUGGACAGGUGAUUAGUACUUGCGGCAUUCUGGCAACCCACUCCUACAACACGCGGUCUUAGAGCAACCAAGUAAUGGCCAAUCAGGAAACCAAUGUCAGCAUUAUUGACCCCUCGAAAGAAGCAGAGGAAUUGGAUGUUAACUCCAUGAAGGAGGAAUUGUAUAAGCUAAAACACCAAAUACUGAGAUGUACCAGGCAUGGGCAAGAGGAUAACCACCCCCUACCUAUCUGGCUAAUCCAACCUUCAUCCCGCCACUGGCCUAAGCACCUAACCAGUCCACCACUGAUCCACCCUCAAGUUUUCCUAUCUAUUCA
rnacentral:lncRNA from 1 species